rnacentral:rRNA from 1 species
UACAGAGGUCCCGAGCGUUGUUCGGAUUCACUGGGCGUAAAGGGUGCGUAGGCGGUUCUGAAAGUCUGAUGUGAAAUCUCCAGGCCCAACCUGGAAACGGCAUUAGAAACUACAGGGCUAGAGGCUUGGAGGGGGAACUGGAAUGCUCGGUGUAGCAGUGGGAUGCGUAGAGAUCGAGCGGAACACCAGUGGCGAAGGCGAGUUCCUGGACAAGUCCUGACGCUGAGGCACGAAAGCCAGGGGAGCAAACAGG